rnacentral:misc_RNA from 1 species
GGUAAAAUGUAUGACUCAUCAUUCUGGAACCAAGAAGGAAAAAUAAGCACGUAUAGUGCAGCUAGAGAAAGCAAACAACAAAGGUGCAGAGUUAUUUAAUUGAGUAAAUCUUCAAAAGAUCCAUAAGAAGUUCAGUACAGAUUACAGGCUCAAGCAAUAACAUAAUAUGUUCACGCAUCAGAAUCAAAACUAAAUAAUGACAGGCAACAUUCUAGGCAUAAAACAACAGAUUUAUUUCAAUAUAAUUUGCUUGCAUGUGCAACACGGUGGGGGGAAACCUAACCAGGAACACACAUCCACAUAAAAGAAUAAAGAACACCAGCCUCUCAAAAGUUCUUAGCAAUGAAAUGGUGACAAGCAUUCCAGAUGGACCACUUAUGAGUGCAUGGGAGCCGGUUAUUAAUUCAUAAUAGGAAAAUUUAUUGAUUUUGCAGGAUUCAUUUGACAUAAAAAUGGACAAAACAUAUAUGAGA